rnacentral:rRNA from 1 species
AGAACGAACGCUGGCGGCAUGCCUAACACAUGCAAGUCGAACGAGACCUUCGGGUCUAGUGGCGCACGGGUGCGUAACGCGUGGGAAUCUGCCCUUGGGUCCGGGAUAACAGUUGGAAACGACUGCUAAUACCGGAUGAUGACUUCGGUCCAAAGAUUUAUCGCCCAGGGAUGAGCCCGCGUCGGAUUAGCUAGUUGGUGGGGUAAAGGCCCACCAAGGCAACGAUCCGUAGCUGGUCUGAGAGGAUGAUCAGCCACACUGGGACUGAGACACGGCCCAGACUCCUACGGGAGGCAGCAGUGGGGAAUAUUGCACAAUGGGCGCAAGCCUGAUGCAGCGACGCCGCGUGAGGGAUGACGGCCUUCGGGUUGUAAACCUCUUCAGUAGGGAGAAGCGAAGUGACGGUACCUGCAGAAGAGCGCCGGCUAACACGUGCAGCAGCCGC